rnacentral:rRNA from 1 species
CGCACGGGUGAGUAACACGUAUCCAACCUGCCGUCUACUCUUGGACAGCCUUCUGAAAGGAAGAUUAAUACAAGAUGGCAUCAUGAGUUCACAUGUUCACAUGAUUAAAGGUAUUCCGGUAGACGAUGGGGAUGCGUUCCAUUAGAUAGUAGGCGGGGUAACGGCCCACCUAGUCUUUGAUGGAUAGGGGUUCUGAGAGGAAGGUCCCCCACAUUGGAACUGAGACACGGUCCAA